rnacentral:rRNA from 1 species
AUUGAACGCUGGCGGCAGGCCUAACACAUGCAAGUCGAACGGUAACAGGAAGAAGCUUGCUUCUUUGCUGACGAGUGGCGGACGGGUGAGCAAUGUCUGGGAAACUGCCUGAUGGAGGGGGAUAACUACUGGAAACGGUAGCUAAUACCGCAUAAUGUCGCAAGACCAAAGAGGGGGACCUUCGGGCCUCUUGCCAUCGGAUGUGCCCAGAUGGGAUUAGCUAGUAGGUGGGGUAACGGCUCACCUAGGCGACGAUCCCUAGCUGGUCUGAGAGGAUGACCAGCCACACUGGAACUGAGACACGGUCCAGACUCCUACGGGAGGCAGCAGUGGGGAAUAUUGCACAAUGGGCGCAAGCCUGAUGCAGCUAUGCCGCGUGUAUGAAGAAGGCCUUCGGGUUGUAAAGUACUUUCAGCGGGGAGGAAGGGAGUAAAGUUAAUACCUUUGCUCAUUGACGUUACCCGCAGAAGAAGCACCGGCUAACUCCGUG